rnacentral:rRNA from 1 species
UACGUAGGGUGCGAGCGUUAAUCGGAAUUACUGGGCGUAAAGCGUGCGCAGGCGGUUGUGCAAGACCGAUGUGAAAUCCCCGGGCUUAACCUGGGAACUGCAUUGGUGACUGCACGGCUAGAGUGUGUCAGAGGGGGGUAGAAUUCCACGUGUAGCAGUGAAAUGCGUAGAGAUGUGGAGGAAUACCGAUGGCGAAGGCAGCCCCCCUGGGAUAACACUGACGCUCAUGCACGAAAGCGUGGGGAGCAAACAGG